rnacentral:rRNA from 1 species
UACGUAGGGGGCAAGCGUUGUCCGGAUUUAUUGGGCGUAAAGCGCGCGUAGGCGGUUAAUCAAGUCAGGGGUGAAAUCCUGAGGCUCAACCUCAGAAUUGCCUUUGAAACUGGUUAACUGGAGUGUCGGAGGGGAUAGCGGAAUUGCUAAUGUAGCGGUGAAAUGCGUAGAUAUUAGCAGGAACACCGGUGGCGAAGGCGGCUAUCUGGACGACAACUGACGCUGAGGCGCGAAAGCGCGGGGAUCAAACAGG